CGCUUCCCUGGAAGGGAGCGGGUUGAUUUGGUGUGGUAUGUCAUUCUUUUCUCAUAAGAUCCACCAUUUCUUUCUGCAGCUCCUCGCCUAGUUCUGCGUUGAAAGGUAUAUCUUGGAGACAGACCAUUACAAAAGAAUAUGUUAAGAAAAACAGGGACUGGGUUGUUGUAGGUUUUUUUGGGCUAAAAACAGGGACUGUCAGCAUCUGAAGCAUUGGGGCUAUUUACAUCAUCUGGAAGAGCAGACUAUUUUAUACAGGACAAGAGCAAAACACAGCAAAAUCAAUCUCUGUGGGCAAAGGCACACAAUCAAGGGCAUGAGGAGAGUGAGCAAGAAGCGUGUUUAUGCCGCUGAUAUCACCUGACAAAAGGCUAGCCAGGUGGAUUUUGGAGACAAACCUCAAGGGAAGAAUAUUUUCAGAAAACAGGGACUAUUCAGCCAGCCCAGUUUGUAUGGCCAUAAAAUAAAUUUUGUGACUAAGGAGUACUUGAAGCAUGAUAUGAAUAAAAUAUCCUGAAAUAGUCAGCUUAUUGUAGGCUAUCAAGACUGACAGAAUCCAGUGUGAUAUAGAACAUUGGACUACUUGUCUGAAAAUCAGGGUUUGUAACCUUGGACACUCUCUCAGACUCAGAGGGAGGGCAAUGGCAAACCUGUUCUGAAAAUAUAGUGCCAAGAAAACUCUUCAUUGGAUCAACACAGGUUGGGUCAACACAGUUUGGAAAGGACUCACAAAUACAGAGCAACUAUAAGAUCUAUAUGUGUUUGAAAU